rnacentral:rRNA from 1 species
ACACACAAAACAAGCGGUGAGUGCUUUGGGGUGGGGUGACUGCGUACCUUUUGUAUAAUGGGUCAGCGACUUAUAUUCUGUAGCAAGGUUAACCGAAUAGGGGAGCCGGAGGGAAACCGAGUCUUAAUUGGGCGUUAAGUUGCAGGGUAUAGACCCGAAACCCGGUGAUCUAGCCAUGGGCAGGUUGAAGGUUGGGUAACACUAACUGGAGGACCGAACCGAC